rnacentral:lncRNA from 1 species
CCCUGAAAACAACCUAUAAACAGCACCCAGUCCUGUGUUUGGCAUUGAUGCUGUUUCCAUCAGUCCAACCAGUGUGUUCCUAACCUGGAAAAACAAUGACUCAGCUGCUUCUGAGUACACGUAUGCAGUAAAGAAUGAGAGGGACAACAAGUGGAGGAUGAUUGUUACAAAUGAAACAGAAUAUACCAUCACAGGCUUAAGUCCCGGAACUUCAUAUGAAUUCUCCAUCACACCAGGAAUAGCCAAACUCUGCACCCCUUC